AAUGAACGCUGGCGGCGCGCCUAAUACAUGCAAGUCGAGCGAGAAGACGUAGCAAUACGUUUGUAAAGCGGCGAACGGGUGAGGAAUACAUGGGUAACCUACCCUAGAGUGGGGAAUAACUAGCCGAAAGGUUAGCUAAUACCGCGUACGCUCCUUGGACUUCGGUUCAGGGAGGAAAGCGAUGCCGAGGGUAUCGCGCUCUUGGAUGGGCUCAUGUCCUAUCAGCUUGUUGGGAGGUAACGGCUCACCAAGGCUUCGACGGGUAGCUGGUCUGAGAGGACGAUCAGCCACACUGGCACUGCGACACGGGCCAGACUCCUACGGGAGGCAGCAGUAAGGAUAUUGCGCAAUGGGCGAAAGCCUGACGCAGCGACGCCGCGUGGGGGA
rnacentral:rRNA from 1 species